GAUGAACGCUGGCGGCGUGCCUAAUACAUGCAAGUCGAGCGAAGCGGGGACGGGGGAGGAACACGUGGAUAACCUCCUAUAAGACUGGGAUAAAUUCGGGAAAACGGAGAUAAACCGGAUAAUUAUAGAUGGAUCCGCGCUGCAUUAGCUAGUUGGUAAGGUAACGGCUUACCAAGGCAACGAUGCAUAGCCGACCUGAGAGGGUGAUCGGCCACACUGGAACUGAGCCACGUUCCAGACUCCUACGGGAGGCAGCAGUAGGGAAUCUUCCGCACUCGGCGAAAGCCUGACGGAGCAACGCCGCGUGAGUUAUGAAGGUCUUCGGAUCGUAAAACUCUGUUAUUAGGGAGGCGGUACCUAAUCAGAAAGCCACGGCUAACUUCGUGCCAGCCGCCGCGGUAAUUC
rnacentral:rRNA from 1 species